ACAAACAGACAAAGAAGAUGGUUUAAGAAGAGAACACACUGGAGGAGAGUAAGUUCAGAGUUUAUGGCAAGGUCGCCCCCUCAACUAAGGCGGAGAAAAGGUGAGGAAACCCAUCCCUGGCAUGCAGAAUGCCCGUCCCUCUAUCCAUCUCUUCCCCGUACCCCAGCCCUGUAACCUGAAGGUGCUCAUUUUACACUGUCACUUUUUGCCAAUUAAACAUCAUUUCUGGUUAUAAAUGAAGAAUUUUAAAUUGAAGAAAGGAAUUGUGGGUGUAAGUUUUAUGAAAGUCUCCAUGAUGCUGUGAGUCCCCAGUGCCUUGGCCAUUCCGGUGGGCAUACACAUGACCGUGAGACCCGGUAGGAGACCCGGUAGGAUGACGAGCACGGUAUUUGGGAAGGUGGAGUGCUAGUUAACUCUGAGGUGCUGCCGUGAAAAACCAGCAUUGUCAAUUUAAUGACAGUGGAUUAAAUGGAUUAACUUGAUUUCCCCCCUCUUUUGUUCUGUUCCUUCCUUCCCUAAUAGAAAUCUGGACCGUGGUGAGGCAGACAAUGGAGACUGGAGACAGGGGUGGGCACAGUGGGAAGGUACAUUGGGAACUCAGAGCAUCCUGGGAGGACACAGAGUCACGGGGGGUCAGAGAGGAUACACUUGAUGAUUUCACAAUGGAUUUUUACAUUUUUAAUGACAUCAUCAAGAGAUCUCAUUUUCAUCUCAUAUAAGAACAUUAUCCUUGACGUAAUAUAAACAGUGGGGUUGUUGUUGGCGAGACCUUACCACACACAGCACCAGCGGAAGAGACUGGAAGCCAUUGUUACUUAGAGGAGAUUCUAGAAAAAAAAUGCAAAAAGUGACAGAAAGGUCAGUGGUGGCCUUCUUCUAUGGAAGAAGUAGCAGGGGCGGGCAUGCAGAAACAGCACUGACUUUCAGAUUCCUAGUGAGGGGUGCGAUUGCCUCAAGGUUUGGCUGAUGUUGACUUCUGGUAAUUGAGGAGACUUGUCCAGCUGGCUAGCACAGCCAUCUGUCAUGAUCGACUUCAUCAAGGUAAUUUUUCCAAUAAGUAAAAACCACCAUGGAAUAGUGAAGGGAUGCACUGGGGCAAAAGCCCAUGUUUCUCAUGAUGUACUCAUCGUUUUGUUUCAGAGACUGCCUGCCUGCUGUUGUAUCAGCGUAUUUCAACAAAACCAAGCGUGUUUUUUAAAUAGCUUUGGAUUCUUUAAUUUUAGGAUUGUGAGAGAAAUUUUCUGUUGAAUGUGCAUUAUAAACAUUCCAUUUUCUGUUCUUGGAAGUUCAACUCUUCUUUUAUUCUGUGUAGUAAAGGAGUCAUCCUUUUUGUAGAUUUUGACACUUAAUCUAUUUCAAGACAAGUAUUAGAGAUGAGACAAGCCUACAGAAAAGUAGGAUGCUAUCUUUCCUCUGUAGCAUCCUUUAUCCUACAGCCCUACCUCUCCUCAGUUUCUCCAUGUUUCUUGCCAUCGCAUUACAUAUUUAGGGAAGGGCACGAUAAAUCUAUUAUUUCUGAGAUCCUGUUUUUCUAGAGAUUACUGAUAUUCCAAGAAGGCCCACAUUUUGAAAGUAAAGUAAGAAAUAAAUAGCAAAGUGUAAAAUUUCAGGCAAUGAGAAUCACAAUGAAGUCCUGGCGAAGUGUUUCCUUGAAUCACCUCCUGGCAUCAGGUUGGGGACGUGUGAGACCUGCUCCAAGAUCAAGAGGUGCUGAAAGAAUUGUUAGUUUGCUUUAAACCCCACCCCAUCCUCUCAUUCAUAUUUGGAAACUUUGAUGGGGUUCACAGAAUGUAUUUUUGUUUCCUUAUUUGCUAAAGAUGAAAAAUAAUUUGUCAGUACGUCUUCUAGGAGUCUAGCUAGCACUGGCUUGUUGAUGAAACAUUCCCAGCUUUGUCUAAGAAUCUGGAGCAAGGAAGAGAGAAGAUAGGUCUAGGCUGAGGGAACAGUGGCCACACGAUUCAGAAUCCCCAGAAUUAUUCAGCAGGAUUCAGGAAUUACCAACAUUGGGAACAGGUGAAACUUAGGAACUAGAAAUACCAAGAGAAGCAUCUGAAUAGCCGUGGACCCUUGGAGAGUAGUUGUGGACCCUUAGAGAAUAGUUAAGAGUAUCAUAUUAUGGAAGGAGAUACCCCCACACACACAUAUGCCAUAUUAUCAGAGGCCAAAUGAGGAUGGCAUGGAUACAUUUAUGUUUUAUAGGAGAAUGGAUGAUGGUGUAAAGAGAGGAGUCUUAAAGACCAAAAAGUUGGGAAACAAAUUGAGAUCACUGAGGUGACAAAUGAAAAACAUGAGAAGACAUGGAAAAAAACCAUCCACAGGGGAAGAAGAAUUCUGUAGACAGAUGGAGAAGACGUGGAUGGAGAGUUCCUCUGCUCUCUACCCUACCCCUAACAACACAUCCUGUCAGCUGUGAGACUGAGAGAGCCUGGCUGUGCUGUCCAGGAGCUAACAUACGUGGAGAGUAACGCUUGACCCUGGGUACCAGUGUGUCUCGUUGAAAAGAGAUGACGCUUUCAGUGUGUCUGUCUCAGGCAGUGUGUGCAGAGAGGAUGUGGGCCAGUGAGUAGUGGGAGGACACUUGCCCUGAAUUUAAGGGCUCAGAAGGGCAGAAGCCAGAGCAGGAAGGUCCUCAUGACAUAGGUCCUUGUGUCACCCUUGCUGGCACCUUUCCCUUCCUGAUCAGGAAGGCAAACUUUUGUGGACUAGGAGCCAAUAUCCCCAGCUAAGGAGAAAUAGGAAAGCAAUGAAAUCCUAAGACGACUUCUUUGGGAUGUCGACCAAGGAACAAAUUAAAAAAUUUCAAAACUAGUUGCAUCGGAAAAUAAUUUCUAAGAUAUUUGGAGGAGGGGGAAAAUGGGAAGAGGGAAGAUUUAGAGCUGCAAGCAGUUUCGUUCAAUGGCAGCACUCCUUCCUGAUAAAAUUUUGAAUGCUGAUAAGGAGAUCUGCGAGGGAGUGUUUUUGCCAGGACUGGGGACAAAGAGCCCAUUGAUAGGCUUCUCAAGUUGCUAGGCAAUGACUGAAUGACCGUGAUAAACUUCAGCUAGGCAGCACUAAAGAAAUGUUCAUGCAUUUAAUGCCCGGUGCAUUAAGCCGGGGACCUCCACGGGAAAGCAGCCUUCCCUGGGCACUUGUGAUUGCGUGGACGUAGUAAAUAAAUCAUCCAGAAUGUCAUUAUUUCCCCUCUCAAAGACAUAGUGCCAAAUCCUCAUACUCUUUGCACUAAUAUUACAAUAUCUACCAUGUUGGAAAAUAAAGAAAAUUAUUUUCAUUCAAUAUCUUUUCCCCAGACAACAACCCGUUCAAUACAUGUUAGAGUAAAACAGAUGUGUGUUAAUAAUAAUUGGGGUAAGCGAGUGGAGGAGAAGAACCGUGGUAUCUGGUCAUAAAUUCACUAGUUUCCCAGUCUCCAACAUCGUCUUCAAAGUGAUGGCACAGACAGCAUAGGGAAGUGAUUCACCAGCAUACUGCCUCUGUCCAUAAUUUGUCCUGACAGAAUGGGGAAGGAGUUGAUACUGUCUAUAGAUGUCUUCACUCCCACAGCACAACCACUAUGCUGGUGUAGAACGUGGAGACGCUUGACUGGGGUUGUCAAUCAUGCCUCGCUAUUGGGUGUUGACCAAAAGUCUCAGUAAUAGACAACAGGGAGGCUCACAUCUGUAGCUGCAAGACCAGCCUGCUAGCAACCACUGCCUGCCUUAGUACAGCUCUGGGGGAAAGCGGACGGCAGGCUGUGGGGCAGAGUGUGCAAGCUGGGGUCUUUUGAGGAACCAUUCUCACUUCAGAAAUUCUGUCCAUCAAGUGAGGGACAGACAGAAGGAUGCCUGCUCUCUACGCGUCCAGACCUAGAAGGUCCCAGAAGUGAGUCAUUGAUUGCAUUUGUGGUUAAUUGGGUACUUGGACGUUGAUUAAACCCUAUAAUGUAGUUAUUGACUUUAACUUGGAUUCUCGCUUAUAUGACUUUAGUCAUAUGACCACACCCCCCUCAAGGCCCUUGUGGUAACUAUUUAGGCAUCACUGAGGGGCUAAGGUGCCGGAAAGCUACAUUGUAACAGAUGAAACCCGAAGGUAGCUUUCAUUUGCCUCAGUGGUCGCAGUGGUGUUUAGGACAGAAAGACUGCCUAGUUCUGCUUCCUGGAGGCCAUGGAGAAGCUGAACCUUGAUAUCCACACACCCAUGGGUUCUCCUCUCAGAUCUCCCACUCCUGGCUGGGCUCAGGUGAGGGUCUCACCUCUGAUCCCAUUCUGUGUUCCUGUCUCCCUGCUCUACCAUGCUGUGUGAUGCCACUCGCUUGUCCAAGGGUAUCAAGGGCUGGUGUGACAUUAACCCCUUCCUGACAGUUUAGUAGUCACUUUCCCUGUUCUGGAACAAAGGCAUCCUUGAGUACCCUCUUUUCUUUUGCCACUACUAUGAGGCUUCUGUCAAGAAAUGGUUCCCUGGCCCCAUGAUCAAUUAUCAGGAAGAUAAGAUGUACCAGAUUCCAUUUAAACAGACUGAAGAAUGCCACUCUGGAUAACUGGGCUAACCUUUCAAAUGACAGAAAGGAUCGCCAAGUCACAUUGUGCAGGUAGUAUUCUAGACAACUGCCCCUGGAAGCCUUAUGGACUGGUGAGCGCUUCCUCCUCUCCCCCUCUUCCCUACCCUCUCCUCUCCCACUCUCCAAACUCCCAUUCAGUAGGUGUUAGAUCGCAACUGGAACCAUGCAAACGGAAAGUGUUCCCAGGUGACAGUGAUCUUGGCCAGAGCUGGGAACCAGGCCACAGACCGCACGUGUUUUCAGGCAGCCGGAAUUAAAUGGUGAUUAGCUGUAAUGCUCAGUGAGUAGGUGUUCCUGGAUGGCUGGACCCAGAGCAGAAAGGAAGAGCCUGUUUCUAGCGUUUUUUUAAGAAAAUACUUUAUAAAGCCUGUCACUGUACUACCACUCUGGAAAAGUGCAUAUCCCAGUACAUCUGUCUAUGUAAAGCUAUUUAUACCUCAUCUGGAAUUUCUCAAUCAUUUCUGAAGAGCUAGUUUCAGUUUAUAACAAUGUAGGAUGUGUUACACACACACCAGAUAUGGUAUGUGAGUGCACGUGUAUGUGUGCAGUGUGUCUACUGAUGUGUACAAAGCCCAAGACAACCUAGAUAUCCUUGAUCACAGUAACGUGUGCCCCAGAGAUCCAAAAGAAUUAAAAUGUAUAUUACAGCUACAGUGGCAUUUCAUUUGUCCCACUUCCCAGUGAGGCCUCUUUCUUUUCAAUAAAACAAUUUAUUGACUUAAAUUGUCAAUAAACUAUACAGUAAUCAUGCAUUUCCUUUCUUUGAGGAAGUGGUGCAUUAAUUUUAGAAAGAGAAGUUAGAAUAUUGAAUGCACUUUGGGUUUUGGUUAAUAUUCACAGUAUUACAUUUUCUACCUUGCUAAAACAUGAUAAUGUUUACAGACCUAUUUUUCUUUAUUUUAAAAAAUAUUUGAAAUUGCAUAUAAUUAUGUCAUUUCUCCUUCCCUUUGCUCCCUCAAAUCCCAUUCUAUAUCCACCCUUGUUUUCUCCCUUUUAGGCUCUUUUUAA
rnacentral:sRNA from 1 species